rnacentral:rRNA from 1 species
AACGUAGGAGACAAACGUUAUCCGGAGUUACUGGGCGUAAAGGGCGUGUAGGUGGUUUCGUAAGUCUGGCGUGAAAUUUUUCGGCUUAACCGGGAAAGGUCGUCGGAUACUGCAGAACUAGAGGACGGUAGAGGCGUGUGGAAUUCCGGGUGUAGUGGUGAAAUGCGUAGAGAUCCGGAGGAACACCAGUGGCGAAGGCGACACGCUGGGCCGUACCUGACACUGAUGCGCGACAGCAUGGGGAGCAAACGGG